AGCGAACGCUGGCGGCAGGCCUAACCCAUGCAAGUCGCACGGAUCUUUCGGGCUUCGUGGCGUACUGGUGAGUUACACCUCGCAACUUGCCCUUUGCUUUGGAACACCUCAGUGAAACUUGUGCUAAUACUGUCUGUUUCCUUCCGGCGAUAGAUUUAUCUCCCUUCCAUCACUUCGCGUCCGAUUCGCUAGUUGUUGAGGUAACUGCACAUCACAGCGACGAUCAUUAGCUGCUCUGAUAGGAUGAUCAGCCACACUAGGACUGAGACACGCCCCAGACUCCUACGGGAGGCAGCAGUGGGGAAUCUUGCGCAAUGGGAGAAAGCCGGACGCGGCCAUGCCGCGAGAAUGAUGAAGGUCUUAGGAGUUUAAAAUGCUUGCAGAGGGGACGAUAAUGGCGGUACCGACAGAAGAAGCUCCGGCUAACUUCGUG
rnacentral:rRNA from 1 species